rnacentral:misc_RNA from 1 species
AAGAACGCCCCGUUUUUUGAAAUGGGUAAUUCCCAAACCGUGUUUACAUACCUUUGUUGCUUUGGCAGGCCGCCCUUUUAGGCGUCGGCUCCGGCUGACUGCGCUUGCCAGAGGACUCAAACUCGUUUGUUUAGUGUCGUCUGAAUACUAUAUAAUAGUUA